GGGAAAGUGGCUCAGUGGUAGAGCGCUUGCCUUAAAUGUAUAAGGCCCUGGGUUCGAUUCCUGAGCACCA
rfam:Dipodomys ordii contig_58422, whole genome shotgun sequence.